rnacentral:rRNA from 1 species
CCUGGGAAACUGGGUCUAAUACUGGAUAUGACCUUUCUCCUUAGUGGGGUUUGGUGGAAAGUUUUUCGGUGUAGGAUGAGCCCGCGGCCUAUCAGCUUGUUGGUGGGGUGAUGGCCUACCAAGGCGACGACGGGUAGCCGGCCUGAGAGGGUGAUCGGCCACAUUGGGACUGAGAUACGGCCCAG